rnacentral:rRNA from 1 species
AGUGAACGCUGGCGGUAGGCCUAACACAUGCAAGUCGAACGGCAGCACAGUAAGAGCUUGCUCUUACGGGUGGCGAGUGGCGGACGGGUGAGGAAUACAUCGGAAUCUACUUUUUCGUGGGGGAUAACGUAGGGAAACUUACGCUAAUACCGCAUACGACCUACGUGUGAAAGCAGGGGAUCUUCGGACCUUUCGCGAUUGAAUGAGCCGAUGUCGGAUUAGCUAGUUGGCGGGGUAAAGGCCCACCAAGGCGACGAUCCGUAGCUGGUCUGAGAGGAUGAUCAGCCACACUGGAACUGAGACACGGUCCAGACUCCUACGGGAGGCAGCAGUGGGGAAUAUUGGACAAUGGGCGCAAGCCUGAUCCAGCCAUACCGCGUGGGUGAAGAAGGCCUUCGGGUUGUAAAGCCCUUUUGUUGGGAAAGAAAAGCAGCAGGUUAAUACCCCGCUGUUCUGACGGUACCCAAAGAAUAAGCACCGGCUAACUUCGUG